rnacentral:rRNA from 3 species
CAACUUUCAACAACGGAUCUCUUGGCUCUCGCAUCGAUGAAGAACGCAGCGAAAUGCGAUACGUAAUGUGAAUUGCAGAAUUCAGUGAAUCAUCGAAUCUUUGAACGCACAUUGCACUCUCUGGUAUUCCGGAGAGUAUGCUUGUUUGAGUAUCAGU